GAAGAUCUUAGAAAAAAAUUCCCGGAAUUGAUUCACAUUACAUGUGUUCCUCAUGGAUUACAUAGGGUUUUAGAUAUUGUUCAAAAAAAGUUCCUCUAACGAACGAACUAAUUUCCAAUGUGAAGAAGAGGUUUUUGAAUUAUCCAAGAAGAAAGCGAGUAUUUACUGCUUCAUACGAUAUUCCCUUCCUCCAUCUCCAGUUAUAACAAGAUAGGGAACCUUGUUAAAAGCAGUGGAGUACUACUAUCAUCACUUUGACGUCUUCAGAGACUAUUUAAACAGCCUUGAUCAAGAUUUGACAGCAACCAGAUGGGCACAAGAAGUAAUUAAUAAUGAUUCCAAACAAGAAGAAAUUGCAUUUAUACAUGAGAAUCUUCGUCAAAUACUUUUGGCAAUAACUGCACUAGAGGAAGAGUGCCUCUCCUUCUACUAUUGUAGAAAAUCUGACUCAAGAUUUGAAGAAGAGCCGUUCAAGGCACGAAACUAAACUAAAGGAACUCUCAACAAGUGAAAACCUUGUAUACAAAAACACUCCAAUUGCCAAUUGUGAUGCAAAGAGUCUUUAGUAUGAUGAACACCAAUAAAUUCGAAAAGGAUGUCUAAACUAAGUACUAAGAAGUUGAAGGAAUUGUUGAUCAUCAAAUGGAAUUAAUGUUUUGUAUACAUUUAAUUGUCACUUAUUUCGUGCCAAAGUUAUCAAUUCAUCCUUUAUGGUCACUAAGAAGUAAUGAGAACACUUCCUGUAAUUAUGGGUUUGAUGUUCUCUAAUUAACUGAAAAUAUAUUUUGUCUUGCAUAA
rnacentral:lncRNA from 1 species